rnacentral:rRNA from 1 species
CCUACGGGAGGCAGCAGUGAGGAAUAUUGGUCAAUGGGCGAAAGCCUGAACCAGCCAAGUCGCGUGAGGGAUGACGGUCCUCUGGAUUGUAAACCUCUUUUGUCGGGGAACAAAGGCUUCCACGUGUGGACUGAUGAGUGUACCCGACGAACAAGCAUCGGAUAACUCCGUGCCAGCAGCCGAGGUAAUACGGGGGAUGCGAGCGUUAUCCGGAUUUAUUGGGUUUAAAGGGUGCGUAGGCGGACCGUCAAGUCAGCGGUAAAAAUGCGGUGCUAAACGCCGUACAGCCGUUGAAACUGGCAGUCUGGAGUGGGCGAGAAGGAGGCAGAAUGCGAGGUGUAGCGGUGAAAUGCAUAGAUAUCACGCAGAACUCCGAUUGCGAAGGCAGCAUACCGGAGACCGACUGACGCUGAGGCACGAAAGCGUGGGUAUCGAACAGGAUUAGAUACCCGAGUAGUC